CUUGAUGGAACCCAGCCACAGCGGACGCCCCUCCGGCCGGUCCACUCCGUACGUGGCCAGCAGGGCCUGAGCCUC
rnacentral:antisense_RNA from 1 species